UUUUACACUUUAAAGUCUAGUCAGCAAGAAUAGAAAUGAUACAGGCUUCAGCCAAAAUGUUUUUUUUUGUUUUCCCCCUGUAAUUUGCAGCCUGUUUCAGCUUUAACUGCUGCUAAGAUUAACCAUCAUAAGAAAUAAAUGACAAAAAGCACAGAAAUCUUAAGUUUAUGUUGUGAAAGAUAUUAAAUGAUUUGUUUAUAUAAUAUUUGCAAUUCAUGUUGGCAAAAUGAGUGUAUAUUAACAUGUUUUGGUUUUGGUAUACCUUGUGAUAUAAAUGUAUUAUGCAACAUCUGUAGUGUCUCCUCAACAAGAGAAAACAAAUGAACACACACACACACACUCACACACACACACACACACACACACACACACACACACUCACACAUUCUCUCCCCCUACCCAUCACAAGAAACUGUGCAUUUUUUGAAUUUCAAAAAAAUACAGUUUAGUAUGUUUUUUAAGCCAUUUGGUUUACGACACAGGAAGUGACCUCAUGAACCAUGUUUACGUUGUAAUACCCAUGUUAUUAUACACAUUUGUGUCCUCAUAAACCAUGUAUAUAAGAACACACACACACACACACACACAAUAGCAUGUACAGGGUGAAAAGCAAGAUCAGUAUGGAGUACCUCAAGGCUCAGUACUAGGACCGUUGCUUUUCGGUACAAAUUGGUAACGGUCCAUGCUGUUCCAAUUCCUGUAAUGCCAACAUAAUUUUCGAGUGCAUUCAAAAAGACUAAAAAAUUACUUGAAAACACACAACACACACACACACACACACAUAUACAUAUAUAUCGUCAUAUUACAUAUUAUGCAUAUAAGUAAAUAUCUCUCAUAUUCGCCUGUAGUGUUUCAAUGGGAGAAAACAUCUGAAUUUACUCCCGCAGAGGGACUUUUGUUUAACUAACAUGUUUAAAGAAGUGAAAUCUUAUGAAAUGACGCUUGUAUGAAAGAAGAUUUACAGUCCAGCUGGUUCUUACAGGAGGAUCAAACGCAUCCGGUCAUCUUUCUGCUCACUGUAUAUCCAGAAGCUGCAGUGAUUGUGAGAAAUAUCAUUCCGUCUCUGUCCAACACCACAUGACUUCAUAAAAGCCUCGUCUUUUCAAAGACUUCAUGAGAUAAACAGCCAGAGGUCAAAGGUCAAAUGUCUCAGAAAGAAGUAAGAUUGUAAUUCAUGGAUUUCUUUUCAGAAUGUCAGUGAAACAUGUUUUUAUUUGUACAACAUUUCUAUUCAACCUCCAACAGAAUAUGAAUAAUCCUGAAACAUUUCACUGUCAUGAUCGGACAUGAGAAGACAAAACUAACGAACAUCUGCAAUUUUAUUCUCUUUCAUGUCAGAGAAAUCAGUGUCAGUCUGUGCAACAUUAAAGCAUGUCAGUAAAGUCACAGAAUUGUGUUGUUUCCAGAUGAAAAGGAACGUCUGCACUUUAUGUGGUUGUUCUAUAAGCGUCGCACGGUUGGCAUAGCAACAGCAGUUAAUGUUAGUUAAUGUGUUUAACGACAGUGUGUGUCAUAUUAGUGUUGAGAGGAGAACUCUCUCUCUCUCUCUAUCUAUCAUCUAUCUGCUCAGUGAAGAGUUCUGUUGGGUUGGUUGACUGGUUUCCAUAGCAACACAACACAACAUGGAGUUCCUGCACUGGAGUUGUCAGGACGUGGCGCACUGGAUCGAGUCUAUCGGAUUCCCCCAGUAUAAGGCGUGUUUCACUGAGAACUUCAUCACAGGCAGAAAACUGAUCCAUGUCAGCUGCAUCACCCUGCCACGGCUGGGAAUCACCGACUACCAGCAUAUGAAGACUAUCUCAGCUCAGGUCGGAGAACUGCUCGGCGUCUCGGAGCCGCGCUGGAGUCGGAGCGUUGCGGAUCCCCCUCAUGAUGACCUGACAGGUUUCCUGAAGAUGAAGAGCAGGACCGGCCAGCACACAGAUUCCCUCACAUAUGAGCAGUUCCUCAUUAACAAGAGCAAAUAAACCCGCUUCAAUCAAUCAAAUCAAAUCAAUCAAAGAGCAGCUCUUGAACAUUCAGUGUGUUUUCUACAAUAUGAUUUUGAAGAAUCACAACUGGAGUCCGUAAACACAACGAGUCCUGCAUUAAACAGAUGUUCACAUGCUGAAAAUAAUGCAUUAUUGUCUUAUUUCACUAGCGGCAUCUGCUAUUAAACUGAUUAUUAUAAGCGUUCAAAACAUAAAACAACUCAUGAAACAGAAAAGAAUGUAAAUGAUGUACAGAAUUAGAAAUUGCAAUCAAUAAAACUGUAUAAAUUUAGAACAUUUAAAACGUGAUGUGAACAAUACUGUCUUCAGAAGAGUUUAUAAUGACUUUCAUAUGUCAGUGUGGUUUACUUUAAAUUGAUUAUAAUUUAAGAGCUUUUAACUGUUUAAAGGCAACAAAACAUGCAUUUAUGACUCAAAACCUUAUAGAUACUGACAACUAACUCUGCAUCUCCCUUACAUUUAUAAAAUUGCAUAUAUUUGAAUGCUAAAAUUCUGCAAUCCAUUGUUUUAAUCCAAACAAACUACAGCAUGUAUC